rnacentral:misc_RNA from 1 species
GCCACUUGGGAUGGAAAGAGAGAACCCACUAAAUAUUUGCUCAUCUGGUCUGGCUGGAUAACUGAAAUGUAUAUCCCUCAACUCUAUAUCUCCGCGGAUGUCAUCCAAUAUCUUUCCUCUUGUGUCAUAAGCAUCUACUUUCUGCUGAUAGUCUCAAACAUUUUAUAAGCUGCAGCUCGUCCAGCAGCAAAUGCACUCAUGCAAGGAGAUGCCUGCCCCAAGGACAUGGAACCACUCAACACUGCAAUGAUCACAUUAAGCACGCUGCCUCCUGAGUAUCCCUUUUCCAGUAUCAUCUUUCCACCGAACCAUAUUGCCAAAGCAUAACUACAGAAUAUGAUUAGCAUUACAACGCCAAGACCUAAUCCU